rnacentral:rRNA from 1 species
CCCUUAGAUGUCCUGGGCCGCACGCGCGCUACACUGACAUGUUCAACAAGCCUCCUAGUUCGACAGGAUUUGGGAAAUCUUUGAACGCAUGUCGUGAUAGGGAUAGAUCAUUGCAAUUAUUGAUCUUGAACGAGGAAUUCCUAGUAAACGCGAGUCAUCAGCUCGCAUUGAUUACGUCCCUGCCCUUUGUACACACCGCCCGUCGCACCUACCGAUUGAAUGUUUCGGUGAAGAUUCCGGAUAGGACUUUUUUGAUUUAUUUCAAUUUUGUCUUAAAAGCUAUCUAAACCUCAACAUUUAGAGGAAGUAAAAGUCGUAACA